GCUCCGGUGGCCUAGUGGUUAGAGCGUCCGCCUAGGAUGCAGGAGGUUGCGGGUUCGAACUCCAGCCGAGAAAUA